AGAGAGAGAGAGAGAAUGCAUGUGCGUGCACUUUUAUUUAAAAAGAAAAGUGAGAAAAUGUUCAACACAAACUGAGCCAGGAAUCCUUCUUAAUGCUUCUUUACUUCCUACCCCUGUCGCAUCUGCAAUCAAAGCCAUAAAACCUUUCUCUUCUUGGGUCUGGGUGGAGUAUCACGGGGUUCCUUUAUAAGAGAAGGAGAGUCCUAUUUUAAAGUCAGGAAGGGGCAUCAAGAGAGCUUGAUGAGUAUUGGGUUUUCUUUUUAAUUUUCUCUCUAGAGGAAAUGUAUUGGACCGGCGGGUUAAAUUCCCAGAGGAUGAGUCCCUUUCCAGCAGCCCAGGAUAUCUCCCAGAUGAAUGAUGGUGACAAUAGGCCAUUCCCUGCCCUUCCAAAAGGGGGUGGAUUAUGGCGAAUGGCCAUUCAGAUGCUGCUUUUUUCAAACAGUGUUCAACCCAGUCUCCAUCAGGUUUUGUGGAAGGGGUUAGGGAGAUGCUUGAUGCCUAAAACCUUGGCAAAGGGUGGCUUUAGCCAGCUGAAUGCAUUCUGUUAUUGUGGUACUAGAGGGGGAAAAAUCAUUGAAGGUUCUUAGGGAUCCAUCCCACUGUAAGGAAGUGUCCACUUACUGCUGCAAGCAGGAAUUUCUUCCCAGCUUCAGUUCUCCAUCAUAAAUUUGUGCCUACUCUGAAGUACGUGUUCACUUUCUAUCAGGGAGCUGCUGCCAUACAGAGACUUCAUAACGAUGCAAUUCAGCCAAUCAGAAAACAGUCCAAAGACAAAUAUAUAAACAAGUAAAAGACCAAACUGAACAGCCUUUUGAGAAAGGAAGUUCUAGGAAAGAUAGAAAGUAUUUCAGCUGUAGUGCAAAGGACCCAAAGGAUCCAUUCCCAGCUCUCCCACCUUCAGCAGUCAUCUUCCAACUGAUGUGUUCACAAGGAGAUUAGCUUGGCUAUAGAUCCUAUUUGUCUUAUCAUUGAGAAAUCGUGUUCAUUGGCUGUGUUAUUACCCACAAAAGAAACCUAGUCCUGAGAUCCCCACCGGCAUACUUCGUGGGGGAAUGGUUGGCUGUAAGAAAUCCUCCUGCACAGGAUUUCUUUUCCUUUUUUCGGAGAUAGGGAAGAAAGAGUCUCCCGACACUUUUCUAAAGAUGUACACCAAAAGACAGAGAAGAGGACAGGGUUAACCCAGGGUAUUUUGACCCUUGAAAUGGAUAAUCCAUAUCUUCCCACCUCAUCCCAGUGGUAAAAAGUAUAAGAAUAAAGUACACCACUUAUGUCACUCUUUAAUGGCAGAAAUCUGCUGCCUGAAGUGGCUGCUUCGUUCCGUUUCAUAGUGGGGCUGGCCCUGGAUGAGGAUGAGCUGCAGUCUGUUCCCCCUAGCUGAACUAAGGCAGCCUUGCCCACUCUAGGUCUUGUUGGGAUGAUGAGAGAUGUAAUCCAACAACACCUGGGUCCAGGGGAAGGCUGAACCUAAGAGCAGGUUGAAACAUGGUGGUCUUUUUUUGUGUGUAGUUGCUAGGAAGGUUGCUGUGCAGUGAAGGCUCUCUACAGAGGUGGUAACAUUUGUAAAUCACCAACUGUGCAGAUGGGCCCAAUCGCAUGGAGAGCCGAACCCCAGCAAAUCACGUUCAUGGUUGCCAUCCGUCCAUGUGAUUGGACUGAUCUAUGUAGUAUGUAGCUGUGAAAUAUUACCAUUCUGACACGACGCUGCUGCACAAAGUAUUUUUUGGAGGCCACGUUGUUCACAUUGGUCUCUUGUUCUGCUCCAAGUGAUGGCCUCAGCAGUAUGUUCGCUCCAACCCACAAGGCAAAGGUCCAGGUUCCAGCAGGUACUAACCUGGCAAGGCAAAGUCUAGGUUCUGGCAAGGCGAGAGCUCCUUGGACAGCAGGCUGGAGACUCAGAGCAGAGCUCAGAUGUUGUCUCGGCACUAUUCAGCCUCAUGCUGAACCUUAUGUAGGAGCUGCAGCUCUGUGUAACCAACUCUCCUUUGGGUGAGAGGAUUCUCCUUUAAAGGGGCCCUUCCUGCUUUGACAGGCAAUGGAUCCAAUGGAGUUAGGGAGACUCUAGUUGCAUGAGGGCUUCUAGAGUCCUUGGAGUCAGAGGAGGGCACUGUGACCAUCUUGGACCAAAAAGGUGCUGGAACAACGGGCUUCUGCUGUGCCAUUGUUUCUGGUUAGUAUGGACAUUUGCAGCUGACCAAGGGUCGAUCCCUCUCACAUUCUGAAUAUUUGGCCUCAUCCCCCAAAGUUUGGGAGUCUGACCCUGGGGGCUUGAGCAGGAGAAUGAGUUCGCAAGUCAGUAGAGUGUUGAUAAUUCAGCUAAUAGGGCAAAAGUUCCCAGUCACAAAACACAAACGUGGGAGGGAAGAACAUUUUCGCUCUUUGGCCACACUGGUCUUCUUCCCUUUUGAGGAGUAGCAACACAUUCCCUCAACAGCUCCUGGCAGAGGCACUGCAAUGCUGCUUCCUUCUUUUGGAAUACAGGCCUAGAGCCAUCUCUCUUAAAGCCGAAAGCACAUUUUUCUCUUUGUGUAACUGAUUUUGCAUUUGCUCCUUUCUUAUCACAUGCUGGUCUUUUGAGCCAAUACCUCAGGGUUGUUUGUGUAGCUUUUAAAUGAGAAAAAAAAAUUAUUUGAGAUAAAAGCAACUUCAUUUCUUUUCCCAUUUUCUUUCUUGUUGAAAUGUGAUUUUUUUACAAAAAUAAAAAAUCCUACACAAGAC
rnacentral:lncRNA from 1 species